ACGAACGCUGGCGGCGUGCUUAACACAUGCCAGUCGCACGGAAAGGCCCUGCUUUUGUGGGGUGCCCGAGUGGCGAACGGGUGAGUAACACGUGAGUAACCUGCCCUUGACUUUGGGAUAACUUCAGGAAACUGGGGCUAAUACCGGAUAGGAGCUCCUGCUGCAUGGUGGGGGUUGGAAAGUUUCGGCGGUCGGGGAUGGACUCGCGGCUUAUCAGCUUGUUGGUGGGGUAGUGGCUUACCAAGGCUUUGACGGGUAGCCGGCCUGAGAGGGUGACCGGCCACAUUGGGACUGAGAUACGGCCCAGACUCCUACGGGAGGCAGCAGUGGGGAAUAUUGCACAAUGGGCGGAAGCCUGAUGCAGCAACGCCGCGUGCGGGAUGACGGCCUUCGGGUUGUAAACCGCUUUCGCCUGUGACGAAGCGUGAGUGACGGUAAUGGGUAAAGAAGCACCGGCUAACUACGUG
rnacentral:rRNA from 1 species